AACUAUUCUCCUCAAAGCCCAGCAUCGCCUGUCACCUGAGAGAUUUUUUUUUUUUUUUUUCUUUUUAAAUUUUUUACUUUAAAAUUUUUGGCAGUGGGAGUGUUGGAUAUUAAUUAGUGCUUCAACCGUACUGACAUCCCAAUAUUGACAAUCCCUGUCAAACAAAUCUCAAUCUCAAUAGCCGGCCGGUGUACGGAGUAGAUUGGAAAGGAUGAACCAGUCGGGCAAGAAACGAUAACCCAAAACCACACACAAAUUUAAAAAGCGGGCACAAUAGGAUAAGAACGCGCAAUCAAUCGCCCAGCCGCUCUGCCCAUUUUCCAUAGGCUUUGCCAAAGCUUUUAUUUUCUGACCAUUCGCGCUCUUUGGAUAUCUGUGGAAACGGGAACCGAUAGUAUGAGUUGCAAGGCCUUAGUUUCAAAAAAAGAAAUAAAAGGGUGGGUGGAGAUUGGAGAAGGUGUCGGAGUUGGGAGUGGAGUUUUGUAAGGCUGCAGAUGAAACGGAAGGGAAAAAAAAAAAAAAAGAAAAUUAUCAAUCCUUGCUAGUUUUAAAUAAAGGACCCAUCUCAUGAAAAACUCCUUUUUCCUUUUUGCCCUCCGCUCAUCCCGAGGAGAAAAAAAUGAAAAUGAAAAAAUGAACUCAAGGAAAAACCGAACUAUAACUAGCCGCAAGUAUUUCAAUGCAUAGAUAAGUUGAAAUAUCUCCGCCUGCCACGCCCAUACCACACACUAUAUGCUAAAUUCAAAAUGAAUAAAAAAAUUUGCUAAAAAGUAAAGAACAAAAAAUAUAAAAGGGAAGAGGAAAAGGCCAUUCACAAAGCCAAGCCAGCCCUCCUCUUCCAUUUCUUCUCAUGCCCGAAAUGAUGCGAUGACGACAACGCCUUCUUCAACUUUCCCUUCCCACGACCACCACCCGUAGAACUCGACCCGGAC
rnacentral:sRNA from 1 species